rnacentral:rRNA from 1 species
ACGAACGCUGGCGGCGUGCUUAACCCAUGCAAGUCGAACGGAAAGGCCCUGCUUUUGUGGGGUGCUCGAGUGGCGAACGGGUGAGUAACACGUGAGUAACCUGCCCUUGACUUUGGGAUAACUUCAGGAAACUGGGGCUAAUACCGGAUAGGAGCUCCUGCUGCAUGGUGGGGGUUGGAAAGUUUCGGCGGUUGGGGAUGGACUCGCGGCUUAUCAGCUUGUUGGGGGGGUAGUGGCUUACCAAGGCUUUGACGGGUAGCCGGCCUGAGAGGGUGACCGGCGACAUUGGGACUGAGAUACGGCCCAGACUCCAACGGGAGGCAGCAGUGGGGAAUAUUGCACAAUGGGCGGAAGCCUGAUGCAGCAACGCCGCGUGCGGGAUGACGGCCUUCGGGUUGUAAACCGCUUUCGCCUGUGACGAAGCGUGAGUGACGGUAAUGGGUAAAGAAGCACCGGCUAACUACGUG